rnacentral:rRNA from 1 species
UACAGGGGGUGCAAACGUUGCUCGGAAUCAUUGGGCGUAAAGCGCACGUAGGCGGUUCGUUAUGUCGGAUGUGAAAGCCCUUGGCUUAACCGAGGAAGUGCAUCCGAAACUGGCGAGCUAGAGUACGAAAGAGGAUCGCGGAAUUCCCGGUGUAGAGGUGAAAUUCGUAGAUAUUCGGAAGAACACCAGUGGCGAAGGCGACUUACUGGACACGUAUUGACGCUGAGGUGCGAAAGCGUGGGGAGCAAACAGG